GUCUUUAUUAUUGUCUCAACUAACUCUGUCAAACAAACAAGCGUAAACAUCAAGGCCUUGCGACCUUGUGCUAAUGUUGUGAGUACUACGCAAGCGCAGCACCCGCAAAAGAUUUGUAAUGAUCCUUCCGCAGGUUCACCUACGGAAA
rnacentral:misc_RNA from 1 species